rnacentral:rRNA from 1 species
AUUGCAGGCGGGCUGGACCUCUCGGGGUUACAGCCUUGCUGAAUUAUUCACCCUUGUCUUUUGCGUACUUCUUGUUUCCUUGGUGGGUUCGCCCACCACUAGGACAAACAUAAACCUUUUGUAAUUGCAAUCAGCGUCAGUAACAAAUUAAUAAUUACAACUUUCAACAACGGAUCUCUUGGUUCUGGCAUCGAUGAAGAACGCAGCGAAAUGCGAUAAGUAGUGUGAAUUGCAGAAUUCAGUGAAUCAUCGAAUCUUUGAACGCACAUUGCGCCCUUUGGUAUUCCAAAGGGCAUGCCUGUUCGAGCGUCAUUUGUACCCUCAAGCUUUGCUUGGUGUUGGGCGUCUUGUCUCUAGCUUUGCUGGAGACUCGCCUUAAAGUAAUUGGCAGCCGGCCUACUGGUUUCGGAGCGCAGCACAAGUCGCACUCUCUAUCAGCAAAGGUCUAGCAUCCAUUAAGCCUUUUUUCAACUUUUGACCUCGGAUCAGGUAGGGAUACCCGCUGAACUUAAGCAUAUCAAAAGCCGGGAGGAA